rnacentral:misc_RNA from 1 species
UUGCUCACAUUUUGACAUUUGCGUGGGAACAGUAAAGCUGGCUGCAGCAAAAUUAAUGUGCGAAAGGGCUACGACAGGAUGUUUCCUCACCAGAAGCAGCGGCCGCAAGGAAAAUGGAAGAUCAGUUCCUGAUGUUACCGCCAGUCCGGGCCGUGCACCGCCCGGCCCGCUGCCCGCCAAUCAGCAGCCCGGCAUGGGCAACCAACAGCAGCAGCACCACCAUGCCAACCAGCAGCAGCAGCAGCAGCAGCAGCAACAGCAUCAUGGUAACCAGCAACAGAACCGCGGCCAGAGCGGCAAUACAAACGGCUCUGGCGGCGUUAAGGAUCCGGUGCUGCUCCAAGGUGACUUUCGCAAGGUCAGCGGGAUCAGUUCGGAGAUUUUUCGACAGAUAGAAGCUGUCGAGAACGAUCAUGAUCCGAAUACCGCUGCAGCGCUGGAGGCAGUGGAGCGGCGCGGAGAGAUGAUUGUGCGCAUCUUGGAGCCACGCUCCAUGGGCAGUAAACAGGCUGUGGAUGCGGCACAUAAGCUGAUGAACAAAGCCGAUGGCCGGCACACCGUGCAACUGGUGGAGAUUGUGAAGCGGCCCGGCCAAACACUCGGCCUGUAUAUACGUGAAGGCAACGGCGCCGAUCGCACCGAUGGCGUCUUCAUAUCCCGCAUAGCCCUGGAGUCGGCAGUCUACAACAGCGGCUGCUUAAGGGUGGGCGACGAAAUCCUGGCCGUCAAUUUGGUUGAUGUCACACAUAUGUCGCUCGAUGAUGUCGUCAUCAUCAUGUCAAUUCCUCGGCGUCUGGUGCUGGCCAUACGGCAGAGGCGUGGUAACCGUGGAGCCGGUUCACCGGGUCCGCCAACACUGUCGCGACCAGAACAGAAGCCGCCGCCGGUGGUGGUUAUCAAGCGUGAUCUCAGAGACGAGGACCUGGACGAAACGGAUCGAAUGCCGCGCCCGCGUUCAUCACGUGAAAGACGUACAGGCGAUGGUCGCGAGAUGACCGAGUCGCGCUCCAGACUGGGUCUGGGCCUUAACAACUACAGCCCUCAGUCAGAGCAGCUGGACAUGUACUACAAUACACGGGCUGGCGUUAACGCAAUGGGCGAACCCCCGAACUGGGGCUACAAAGCACCGCCGCCACCAUCCUCGGUCAUUACGGAGCAGCCCACCAAGGGGCAUGCCUUUGCGCCUUCACAUGCUUACUAUCAGAACGCUGGCACACUGGAAAGCCUGGCCGAAAAGGUGCACGCUUUCUACCCAGGCGCACCUGGCCAACCGCUAGGUCCCUCGCGACGCAUGUCCACGGGCACAGGAAAUGUGGGUUUGGCUCAGCAACAUGCACGUUUUCCGCGCUCUGGUUCAGAUCAGCAUUUGCCGCGAGUCGAAUACGCGGAUUACUCCAACUCUUUAGGCCGCCACUCCCUGCUGCGUUCCAGCUUGAAACCCGGUACAGGCGCCCCAAUGCCCGUGGGCGUUGGAGGCACUCUGGGUCGCUAUGGGCGUUAUGAGCAGCAACGCGGUGGAGUUCCAAAGUAUGGGCCUCCGGCAGCCGGUCCGCAGUCACUGACCCGCCGCUCGCGGCCCAAUCUGGACUACUCCAGCGAUACCGAAGCCACCAUUGGGCCUCGUCCUAGUUACUAUUACUAUAACCGACCCGCCAUAGGCAGUAUGCCACGCGGCGCUGGAGGCGUGGGUAGUGGAGCAGCUGCAGCGGCAGCUGCAAUGUUGGCCGGCACCGCAGAUCUAAAUAAAUUCAACUCACUGCCCAGGGAGCGACCGGGCGUUAGGUUACAGGGCAUACGUGCGCGCAUAGGAGACCGCAUUCUGGAUGAGAACGAUGGCAAUAUUUCGGCACCCGAGUAUGAUGCGCGGCGCGGCCGCGAUCUGCGCCAACGCAUUUCUGCUAGCCCUGGCCCCUCUAUCUUUACGGCGGACGAGUAUCGUGCGUGGCUACGGCGCGCGCCCAGUAGCUCUGCGAUUGCGGAGCAAAUGCGUAUGACUAGGGAUAUGUUCGCCCAGCCGCGCUCACAUCGCUUCUCCUGCAGUGCGGAAAACAUUCACGAUGCCCUGCGGAACACCGAGAGCAUUUACUCGAGCAGAACGGGCAUACUCGGUGCUGGCACGCUGGAUCGUAAUCUGGGCCUCACUCGACCCAUCUCUGCACUGCCUGUACGGUCCAUGUCCUCGCAGCACAUAGGCGGUGCUGGUUCCAUACGCUCGCCCAGUAUACGACGCAUGCGUCAGCUGCUGGAACUUUCUGCUGGUCCAGCCAGUCCUAGUGGCAGUAUUAUGAGUACAGCCGGUCAUCAGAGUCCCGCGCCCACGCCCAGCGCAACAUUGCCGCGUGCUCAUCGCCAGAUUGACAUUAAUCCGGCAGAGUUUGCCAAGUACAAGCUGGACAAGCCUAUUGUGGACAUUGGCGGCGUCUCGGGCAUGCUGUGGAUACAUCUGCUGGCCGGCCGCGGAUUGCGGACAGUACCAGAACAGGGUGCACAGCAUGCACCUGGUGGGGCACCACUCCCACAGACUAGAGAUCUUUACUGCGUAAUCGAGUGUGAUCGCGUGCAUAAGGCGCGUACAGUGGUGCGUUCGGGAGAUUUGCAAUUCGAUUGGGAUGAGUCAUUUGAACUAGAUCUGGUGGGCAACAAGCAGCUGGACGUGCUCGUCUAUUCCUGGGAUCCACAGCACAGGCACAAGCUGUGCUAUCGCGGCGCCAUAUCGCUGUCGGCGGUGCUGCGGCAAUCGCCACUGCAUCAGCUGGCGCUUAAAGUGGAGCCUCGCGGCACUGUCUACAUACGCAUGCGGCAUACAGAUCCUCUCGCACUGUACAAGCGUCGCGGGCUGCCCAGUUUGCGUGCCGGUUAUCCGACACUUUUCGGUGCCGAUCUGGAGACGGUGGUCAACAGGGAGUCAAAGAAUGCGCCCGGCUGUGCGCCAGUGCCAAUUGUGCUGCGACGUUGCGUUGAGGAGGUGGAGCGGCGAGGCCUCGAUAUAAUCGGGUUGUAUCGCCUGUGCGGAUCGGCAACGAAGAAGCGUCUGCUGCGCGAGGCCUUCGAGCGCAAUAGCCGAGCUGUGGAAUUGAGCCCGGAACACGUUCCUGAUAUUAAUGUUAUUACCGGCGUACUCAAGGAUUACCUCAGGGAGCUGCCGGAGCCAUUGUUUACACGCUGUCUCUUCCAGAUGACAGUCGAUGCCUUGGCUGUCUGUCUGCCAGAUGAUCCUGAGGGCAAUGCGAAACUGAUGCUUAGCAUACUCGACUGUUUGCCCAGAGCGAAUAGGGCUACCUUGGUAUUCCUGCUUGACCAUCUUUCGCUGGUUGUGUCAAAUGCGGAGCGCAAUAAAAUGUCUGCUCAGGCGCUGGCCACUGUGAUGGGUCCUCCGCUGAUGCUGCACUCGGCCAGUGCGCAGCCUGGCGCUGAUAUUGAUCAUGCUCAGCCGAUUGCGGUACUCAAGUAUCUACUGCAGAUCUGGCCUCAGCCACAAACGCAGCAGACGCAGCAUCAGCAGCUGGCUCAGCACAUGGGCGGCAUGGCCGCUGCCAGCAGCAUGAGCAAUAUGGCGGGUGUUGCUUCAGCCCUUUCAAUUGGCGGGCUCAGCGGUCUCGGCAAUUCCCGACCAAUCGCCACUGCCACUUCCAGGCACACCCUCCCCAGGCAGUAGCUCAGCCUCGACGGGCUCCGGCUCGGGGUCGGGCUCGGGUUCGGGCAAGAGCACUGAUACCAUCAAGCGCGGUGCUUCGCCCGCUUCCAUCAAGCAAGUGAAAAUUGUUGACACGCCCAGCCCGUACUCGGUUGUACAG